rnacentral:rRNA from 1 species
AGAGUUUGAUCCUGGCUCAGGACGAACGCUGGCGGCGUGCCUAAUACAUGCAAGUCGAGCGGACCGGAUUGGGGCUUGCCUUGAUUCGGUCAGCGGCGGACGGGUGAGUAACACGUGGGCAACCUGCCCGCAAGACCGGGAUAACUCCGGGAAACCGGAGCUAAUACCGGAUAACACCGAAGACCGCAUGGUCUUCGGUUGAAAGGCGGCCUUUGGGCUGUCACUUGCGGAUGGGCCCGCGGCGCAUUAGCUAGUUGGUGAGGUAACGGCUCACCAAGGCGACGAUGCGUAGCCGGCCUGAGAGGGUGACCGGCCACACUGGGACUGAGACACGGCCCAGACUCCUACGGGAGGCAGCAGUAGGGAAUCUUCCGCAAUGGGCGAAAGCCUGACGGAGCGACGCCGCGUGAGCGAAGAAGGCCUUCGGGUCGUAAAGCUCUGUUGUGAGGGACGAAGGAGCGCCGUUCGAAGAGGGCGGCGUGGUGACGGUACCUCACGAGAAAGCCCCGGCUAACUACGUG